GAACAUAAAAUGUAAAAAUUUGAAGUCACAAUAAUAAUAAAUAGAGCAAAGAAAUAGAAUAAAUAACCAAAAUAAGUGAAUAAAGUGCAAUGUCACUAUUUCUUAUUCAGUGACGGCGGCAGGAACACAGCUGUUUUUCUAACGCUGUGUCAUGAAACUCGGACUAAGAACCACCA